UCCUUUCUUCCUCCCAUCUGGAAGAACAUCAAGAUAUCUUUUUGUGGAUCAAGUUUGAGUACUUGAUCAUUUUUAUAUUACUUUUGUAAAUAUUCUUGGCCACAUUCUACUUCAGCUCUGGAUGUGGUUACCAAGUAUCUGUAACCCUUGAGCCCCUAGACAGUAUUGCCAUCUCUGGCCAAAUAUGCACUUUCCCUAGAAAGCCAUAUUCCAGCAAUGAACCUUGUGCUAUAGUGACUCCCACCUGUACAUACAUUGUAUAGGCCACCUGUACAUAUCCCAGAGAACAAUCACUAUUCUUAAGCACUUUGAAGAUAUUUCUAUGUAAAUUAUUGUAAACUUUUUCAAUGGUUGGGACAAUGGCAAUAGGAUAAAACGGGUUACUAAGAUGAAAUUGCCAAAAAAAAAAAAAAAUUUGUAACUAAUUUUGUACGUAUGAAUGAAAUCUUUGACCUCUGUCGAGGUUUGCAAAGACUGACUUCAAACUACUGUACGUUUUUUUCAAGUGCUAAAAAAAAAAUUAAACCAAGCAGCUUAACCAUGGUUUUGAUUAUUCCUCUAAGAUGAGCUUCUGGGAACAGUAUCACCAAAUGUCCCAAACAUUUAAGCUAGAGUUAGUUCUUGAUGUUGUAUACCUAAGCCCAUAAUCGAGCUAGUAUCUUGGAUGGUAUACAACCAAGAACCAGCUAAACAAUUAGAUACAGUUUAAUAUUUGUACCUCCAAAUCUAUCACUUCCUUCCUUCUUUCCUUCCUUCCUUUCUUCCCUUGCUGGCCUCAAGCUUGCAAUGCUCCUGCCUCAGCCUCUCAACUUCUAGAAUUACAUGGCUGCACCACUUCACCCAGCCUAUGUAGUUUUAUUUUAUAAAUGACACUGUCUUCCAGAAUUCCUUUCUUUAACAGAUUUCUUUUUCUUACUUUUUUUCCCCAUGAUCUAGAAACACAUGCCAAGAUUCUCAUGAGUUUUCUUACUUUGUCAUCCAUGUUCUUUUUCUAUUUGUAGGUCAAAGACAAGUGCCUUCUAUGGCAUGGGAAAGGGCUUUAUUCUUAUAAGAGUCUGGCCUGUCUUAACUAGAAGACGGGUAGGAAGGAUACUAGGUAGGCAGCGUUGCUGAACAAUCUAAGUUGUGGUUCUUAGCCUGUCCCAGGAACAGCAGCAUGGGAGGCUAGGAACUUAACAGAAAUGAGGAUUCUUGGUUCUCACCCCAAACCUACUUAAUCAGAAACCCCAGUAAUACAGACCAGAAAACAGUUUUCACAAAUUCCUCAUGUACUUUGAAUAUAACAUAAAGUUCGACAAAAUCUAUUCUAAUGUGGCUUUUUAUGGAGGGUGUAACUGUAAUGUAUUCAAAAUUGUCAGUGUGGUGGCAUCAAAUAUGUAGAGAUGGUCUUUCUGUGGAGAAUUUGUGGAACUUUAGUGUGGAGAACAAAGAAGGAGUUGGAGAUGAAAAAGUGGUACUGUGUCAAGGGAAGAUUUUUGUGAGUUUUCCAUCAUGUUGGCCAUCACAUCCUGACUGAAGUCUCAAGAUUCCUGGAAGUGAAGGAAGACACAAAGCUUAAAACUCAGAUGAGAUGCUCUGACUCCAUCGUGAAGUGGUCACUGAAAAAAAUGUUGCUGGUUUCUUGGGAUGAAAGAACUGAGCCAGCAUCUGAAAAAGAUCAUUUCAUUU
rnacentral:lncRNA from 1 species